rnacentral:lncRNA from 1 species
UGCGAGUAUACCACAGGUUAAAAGAGAACACAUAUAGCAACAUUGCCGAUAGUUUGUUUUUUAGAAAAGGAGGACCUACCCCGCAUCUGGGCGAUGCAUGUGCUCACCUUAUUAAUUAUUUAUAAAGACUUUACAAAGUAGUAACAUUGCCGAUAGUUGAACAUUGAUUGCUGUUGUCAAUUCAACACCGGUUCGCUGACAUCAGGUGCCCACAAGAACCAACGAAAAGAGAACUAGAAAUGUGCCCACGGAUGGAGCUUUGAUAGCAUUAUUUGUGCAACUAAAAAAGACGUCAUGGGCUCAUACAACCUUGGAACAACAAAAUCCUUCAAAGAACCGCUCAUGUCAAAGUACGGAGCCAACAACAAAGCCACUGACGGUCGCUGCUUUUUCCCGAUUCCGUGAGACAUGUUGUAGACACCAUGACCAUGUUCACACAACAAGAUACAGGUCACUGGCUAAACGAAGACAAGAACAGGAAAAACAGUUACAAUCAUGAUUUUUUUUGCGGGGGAGUUACAAUCAUGAUCAUGAACAGACAAAGCUCCAAACUUACAAUCAUGAAUAGGCUCGAUGCAGCGAGUGCAAGGGGGAUGCCGACGGAGGUGAUCGCAUCGUAGUGCCCUUUCAGGUGAGUGUGCUUGCUCAAGCUCUGGAAAUACUACUGCUGCUUAAAAAGCCUCUCACGUGGCAAAAACGGCUAUUCUGUGAUCUACAUUAGUGCAUCACAAGAAAAGAAACUAAGACUACAUGUGGCAAGGUGGAAAAAAAAGAGUAGCAAAUCUUCAGAAAGAACUGAGAAGUGUAACGGGUUAUAUAUAAUCAUUGAUAUGAAGGGCGGGCUGUAAGGUGUAAACAUAAGAAAUGUAAUCAGGAAUUAGCACUGUUGGCCUCUGGCCAUAAAUUGCUCUACAAACUUAACUUUGAAGUUUUAAAAAACCUUCUAUUAGUUCCUAACCGCUCUACUUGGCACACAAUAGAAACACUACCCUACCUCACCACCUCCCCACAACCACACCCCAACAUUUUUUGAAUGUUGCUAAUCUUGUUCAAAUGUCCACUUUUGGCACAUAAGCGCAUCAUCUCCAGGUGGAUCAAAUUUGAUAAUUUGUAUGGCAUCAACAGUGUGCCCUUGAAUGAAGUAACUUAUUGCAAAAGUAUCACCGAGACAGUAAACAUGCGACCUACAUAAAGUAGAGCAAGCAAAACAAGGUAAUGGGUCUAUAUUAACAGAGAGAUGGUAGUCUUACAAGCUGAAUCACAGAGCACAACCAUAGAUUGAAAUCAAAGUCUAACAUUCUCAAAAAGGCGUGUGAUCUCCAAAAGAGAGGCAGAGUCCGUCGGAUCAUGAUGGAUCAUAUGUAUAGGCGGUAGCUGCGACUAGCGGUGUCGCGUCUACAGACGAUGGACAAUGAAAGAGAGGCGGCGCCUUGCCUUAAAAUGGAAGGCGUGGAUGGCACCUUCGUGGAUGUUCAUUUGGUUGCGAAACCAUGAAUAGUUCAUCGUGAUGGAGGCCCUCUUGUCGGUUCCAAGCAUGAAGCGACUGCCGCAGCCCACGGUGCCGUCUCCAAGCUUGACUGAGAAGGUAUCAUCAUCUUGGUGGAUGCAUGUAUUUCUUGCUUUGUAUUUGUUGAAUUGGUUUUAGCUCAUCGUGUCAAUUUGUUCGAGUGUGAGCUCGUGAGCUUGUUACUCUUGGAGCCACCGCUCCUAGACAAUUUGGUGGAUUGUUGUCGGUGACCCAUUUGUGGAGAUUGUGAAGAGGCCCGAGUUAAUUUCGUUGGGUUUGUGAAGUGGUUUUGGAGCUUGCCAUCUUUAGAGUGGAGGAAGAAGCUAGCCAUAUCACACGUUGUGGUGAUAUCUCAAGGAGAUGAAAGUGAGACUGUGUGGUGUUGGUGUGCCUUCGUGGUAGCAACCACCCGACCAACGGAGACUAUUGUAUCGGUGGAUACUUGAACUUCGCGAACAUAUCCAUUGUGUCUUGUCCCUUUACUUUUCUUAAUUCAUACUUUCUACUAUUGAUAUAGAUUGCUAGCUUGUAUCAUUCAUUAUCAUAUCUUUUGAUAUAACUUGUGUAAGCUUGUAUUGCUUACUUGUGCUUGCUUUUAUCAUUAAUUUCCAUAUCACUAUAAACUUGUAUUGCCUACUUUUGAUUCCUAGUUUCCGUAACUGCAUAUAUCUUUUUUAGAAUAAGUUGUUGAUGUACUUAGUUGAGCUAGUCUAUUUAGGAUUUGUGCUUGAAAAGUAUCCGCCUAGUUUAAUUUUCGGAUUAGGAUAAAGCCAAAUCCGUAAAAUUUUAUAAAACGCCUAUUCACCCCCUUUAGGUGACAUCAGAGUACUUUCAGCAUUUCAGCGCAUGCGUUCCUUAGGGAGCGUCCUCGGUCUCCGGUGUGGUUUUCUUUUCUUUCAGGUUUUUCUUGCUUGCACAUAUAUAGAAAACCAUAGCCAUUUUUUAGGAAAAAAAUCUUGAAUUAUAUUUGAAAUGGCGAAACUUAGUGGACAUUUUUUAGUGAAGAACAUAAACUUUUUUAAAAUAAAAGAAAACCCCGAAAGAAAAAAUAUGAAAAAGAAAAUCAGAAAAAUAAUAAUGAGCAAAAUGUAAAUAGUAAAACAAAAAAACCCAUAAUAUAAGAAGUAAACCAGUAGAUAAGAAACAUUAAAGAAAGGAAAACAAAUGACCUGUUUAGGACCUUCUAGAACCUAUAUAAACCAGGAAAACAUUUUGUCGGGUUGACUGGCUGACCAACAUUCCGUUGGUCCGAUGGCAACAUUUAGUGGGAAUGAGUGACAAAUUUUACUGAUGUACACUACCACUUAAAGUAUAACCGGUUAAGGUCCCUUUGGAUUGAAGAAUUUUUGUGGAAUUUUGGAUUUGAAUCCUAAGGAAGACCUUUGAAUCAUAGGAUUGUAGUUCUUAAAUUCCUAUGGAAUCCAUUUGCAUGCCCCUCAUUCCAUAGGUAUAUCAACAUGAGCUCAAACCCCUUUUUAAUUUUUCUUUGGAGAAGCCCAAUGCAUCUUCACACACUAUCUCCCUAUUCUCUCUUCUCGAUCCUCUAAAGCUCCUGUGUUUUUUCCCGUGCACCAUCCAUUGAUAAUCAUUGUACGAUUCUGCGUUUUGGCAUCCCACGGAAUUUUAUGUGGAAGGAGACCUUCCUGUCGACUACGACAACGUCUGUGGCGACUUCGUCGAUCUCAAGAUGAUGUCAUGGCUUAGUCUUUCAGGUGUGCUCAUAGAGGUAGGGUGUGCAUGCGCGCAUUCAUGGGGUGCUUAUAUGUACGUAUGUAUGAGCGCCUGCGUCUAUACCAUGUUCAAAAAAAUCCUGCGUUUUUUAGCGAAAAUCCUGCGUUUUUCUAUCUGUAUAUCUUCAUAUUACUUUUUUUUCCGAAGGGGUAUGGGGGUAGGCCCAGUUGGCCCAUCUACAAGGCCGAGGUCAGGGCCCAGGGCUGGUUAUCACCGGGCAUGCGCACUCCCGACUUGAAAAACAUAAAGUACACCAUGAUCGCCUGAAAGACUUGUACGAGUAUACCACAGGUUAAAAGAGAACACAUAGCAACAUUGCCGAUAAUUGGACCUUGUUGCUGUCAAUUCAGUAUCGGUUCGCUGACACCAGGUGCCCACAAGAACCAACGAAAGGAGAACUAGAAAUGUGCCCACAGAUGGAGCUUUGAUGGCAUUAUUUGUGCAACUAAAAAAGACGUCACGGGCUCAUAACCUUCGAACAGCAAAAUCCUUUCAAAUUAAGAACCGCUCCCAUGUCAAAGUACUGACCCAGCAGCGAAGCCACAGACGGUCACUCCUUUUUCCCAAUUCCGUGAGACAUGUUGUAGACACCACGGCC